UUCAAGUAUGAUAGAAUUUCAUGAUUUAUACUACUUUAAAAGUGAUGUUCAUUGAGAAUCUUCAGUGUAUAUGAAAAUACAAACGUUAUACUAUCAAGUGAAAAUCAGUGUUCAAACUUGUAUGUGGAAUUAUAAGAACAUGUAUGAAUAUCAAUUCAUUGAGAAAAAUAUAACAAAAUACAAACAGAUGUCACCCAUUGGCUUAGGACAUCUCACCAAUAAAUGUUGCUCCCUAAUAUCUGUCUAUAUUUUUAUUUAGGUACAGCAACCAUGUUUGAUAAUACCAGCCUUAUUCACUCCAAAGAGAUGGAAGAAAUGGAGUCUAACUUAUUAAAACUGCAGGUUCUGGGAUUAUAGCAGUGACCAAACAUCCCAACCUCAUGGAGCAUAUAUAGUAAGAGAAUGGACAGAUUUAAGUACAUAGACAAAGAUAUCUGUCAUUAUGUUGGUUACAACCAAAUGCUAUGAAGAAAAAUUAAUAUGGAAUGCGUGUAGAUGCAAUUUUUUCCAUAUUGUUGGGAUACUAAUAUCCAUACGAAAGGACAUAACAUAUUUUUAGUAAACAAUGUAUAAAACGAUUUACCUGUAACAAGCUGAUUUGCCACGUUUUGUAAAACAAGACUGUAUAUCAAUGGAUUAAGCACCGGACUUACAAAAGUGUACAAGACAGCUAUUAUUUUGGAUUCCUCUACAGUCUUAUCUGUUGGUGGUCUUACAUACAUGCAGAAGAGGGUCCCAUAAAAGAGGGUCACAGCCAUCAUGUGGGAGCCACAGGUGGAGAAUGCCUUGUGCCUGCCCUCUGCCGAUUUGAUCCGGAGGAUGGCACCAAUAAUGAAGGCAUAGGACACCAGGAUGAUGCAGAGGGAGUUGGAGAGAUUGAAGCCAGCUGAUAUGAGCAUGGCAUGCUCUUUGACAUACGUAUCAGAGCAAGAAAGCUUAAUCAGUGGUGGGUCAGCACAGUAGAAGUGGUUGAUGACAUUGGAUCUACAGAAGUUCAAGCGGAAGGUCAGGAGGGCCUGGAACAGCCCAUCUGAGAAGCCAUAGACAUAAGGCAAUGUGGCCAAACAGAGGCAGAUGCGCCUGGACAUUUUCAUACUAUAGCGCAGAGGGUUACAUAUGGCCACGUAGCGGUCAUAGGCCAUUGCCGCCAAUAUGUAAAUCUCAGUGAGGAGAAGCGCAAUGAAAAUGUAACAUUGUGUAAAGCAGCCAACAAAGGUGAUGGUCUUCUUCUCCGAUAAGAAAUUAGUCAACAUCUGUGGGGUUGCAUUUGAGGUGUAACACAAGUCCACAAAGGCCAAAUUAGUGAGGAAGAAGUACAUGGGUGUGUGGAGGUGAGAGUCCAGUCUGAUCAACAGCAUCAUGCCCAGGUUGCCCGAGAGGGUGACAAGAUACAAAACCAGAAACAGCACAAAGAAGAGAAGUUGGAGUUCAGGCCGGUCUGUGAGCCCCAGGAGAAUGAAUUCUGUUAUUGCACUGGCAUUUGAGAUGGACAUUUUCUGAGAGUCUGGACCUGCGUUGGAAACAAUGGAAGUCAAGCAGACAGAAAGAACGCUCAGAAUGUCCCCGCUGAUGAACAUCGAAGUCUUGGGGAAGGUCAGUCAUAAACAGCAUUGUAACAUACACAGGUCAUGGGCAAACUCCUUGGUGAGGACUUCCUCUGUGUGGACAACUUUCAAAUCCAAGUUGCUUCUGGCAGCAGGACAGGCUCAAAUGGAUGUCUUCUCAAAAGAUGCUUUCUCCACCUCCGCAGAAGUGAGUUUGACCUCCCUCCUCCAUGUGCUCUUAGCGCCCUGCCCCCAUCCUUGUCUAACACAAUCUGUUUAAUUUACUGCCCAUAUCUCUCUUGACAACACUACAUUGCAUCUUUAUGGGCAGGAACUGUGAUCUCUGCGGCUAGCACAGGCCCUGGGAUAUGAUCGCUGAUCAACAGAUACUUGCUGGAUGACUUAAGAAGUGGGCCGUGUGUUCUUUGGUUUUGCGAAUCCACAGCAACUCUUGGUUAUCCCCUCCCUGGUACUUGCGCUUUUAUUGAGCAUACUUCCUUCGCCCUCAAAAAUGAAAACUGCGGGGAGCCAAAGUGGAAUAAGUGGGGAAUUUAUUUAAGGACCCAAAGGAAACAACUCACAAUGAGGGUCAUUAAAUAUAGGUGAUAGGCAUGAGACACUUACUAUGCGCUGCAAUCACCUUACAAUCCUUAGUUUAGUUAUUCCUCACACAAGUCCAUAGAACACUAGCACCAUUUUCUUCAUUUUACAGAGGGUAAACUGAAGCAAGGAGAGAUUACGUAGCUUUCCCUGGUAGAUGCAAAUAAUAAUUGGUGAGCCUGGCAUUCAAUUAGGCCAUUCAAUAGUCUUUAAUACCAUGUUGUUGAUACUUUAACAACGAAAUGUGACGUGUUCACAUCAUACUAAACAUUCUCCAGGUUUACUGGCAUUCAUUCAUUCAUUCAUUC